AUUUUCUUAGUAUAAUAAGUACAACUGGCUUCCAACCAGUUAGAUCUGGAAUAUCCGGAAGAAAAUA
rnacentral:tRNA from 1 species